rnacentral:rRNA from 1 species
UACAGAGGUCUCAAGCGUUGUUCGGAUUCAUUGGGCGUAAAGGGUGCGUAGGUGGCGCCGUAAGUCGGGUGUGAAAUUCGGAGCUUAACUCCGAAACUGCAUUCGAUACUGCGGUGCUUGAGGACUGGAGAGGAGACUGGAAUUCAUGGUGUAGCAGUAGAAAUGCGUAGAGAUCAUGAGGAAGACCAGUGGCGAAGGCGGGUCUCUGGACAGCUUCCUGAC